rnacentral:misc_RNA from 1 species
GCUUUGGAAACUUAGAAAUUUUCAUCCCUUAAAUCCAUAAGAACAACAAUUAACUCCUUAUAACAGGUUCCUAAAAAAUCGCCAUCAAGAUAUAACAUUCCAUAAAGAAUGUCCACAAGUAUGGAAUAAUUCUUAUUUAACCUUAGAAAUAAUCUGCAAGAAUAAUAACUCUACAAUGUCCAAGAAUCAGCUAAGUACUGUUUACAUAGACUUCAUAAACUUCCUAGCCUCUGUUGAUUACUUCUAGCCCAGAGUUGAUUGCUUCUUCUUCUUUUAGAACAUGCUUCAUUAAAAUAUUUGUUGAACUUUACACAGUAUAAAAAUGGAUCAUCAUGUAGUAUGCAAAAAGCAAUAGAAGUCUUCUGCACUGGUUUUUUCUAAUGGACAUCCACUCCAACAAUAAGAUACCUGUCUAUGUGAUGUAGAAAUGAUAUUUGAGUGUCAUACAUAUAUCUAUAUGGAAAGCAAAAGCCUUGCAACUUCUGAAACUAUAUAUUUAAACUGUGAUACCAAAAUGUUGAAAUGUGCUUGACCUUGCAAUUCUCUUCACCAAACAACCGCCUUUCAAGAUCUCCAAGCAAGGCACCAAAAUUAAUUGUUAAAGGGUAGAAACGUUCUGUAAACCUCCAGGAAGGAAACCUUGUACAAUUACGCAAAAUGAGGCACCUUAAACUUGGAAAAGCUCCAUGUACAAUCUCACUCCAUU